rnacentral:rRNA from 1 species
UUCCUUUCAUUGCACUUUCCAGGGAAAGAUACAACAAAACCACGUUAGUGAGAGAGAAAUGACGCUCAAACAGGCAUACCUUCUGGAAUACCAAAAGGUGCAAUGUGCGUUCAAAGAUUCGAUGAUUCACAAAAUUCUGCAAUUCACAUUACGUAUC